UAACCAUGGUGGGGGCAAAUGACUUGCAAUUCCUUGUAUCUUUCCCAUGCUUGGUUUAAAGUCUCAUUAUCCUUUUGGGUCAAUGAAGAAAUUUUCUUCCUCAAGGCA
rnacentral:snoRNA from 1 species